rnacentral:lncRNA from 1 species
AUAUACUAUAUUAAACGGUAAGAUGUUCAUCUGUACAUUGCUUAAUGAUUAAUUCAGCUGACAUCGAUAUUCACAAAUGGUUUAUAAUUAAAUUUAGCACAUUCAUUAUUCGUAUCUUUGCCUUAAUCAAGAGAUUUUCAAGUGCAUCACUAAGGAAAAUCAGUCGGUGAACCUAAAAACAAUCUUUUUGCACCCUUACUGUACAAAUUAACGUAAAAACCAGACUUAAUUUACUAAAUAAAGUAUAUUUUAAGUGGUGGUAAAAGUUUCAGCCAGAUCUUUGAAGCCAGAAAUAAGAAAAUUACACUUGUUUGAAUUUCUCACUGUACGAUCAGUCUCGCUUGUAUAUUUUGAAACUGUAUGAUCAGUCUUUAUUUCACUGUAUUCUAGUAGUGAUUUCAAAGUUAUUUACGAUACAUUAGAAGAUGGCAUUUUUCUAAAUAACACAAAUAUAUUUUAAUAAAUUCACAUCCUGUAAACUUUUCAAACAUGUUUUAGCUUGAUAGGGUGUACUCGACUUACUACAUUAAGUAUAAGGAUGUUUGAAUGUGGCUGAAAUAAGAAGAAGGUUUGUUUGUUUAUAGAAGUUUCAGAAAUGUCCUCCGUUAUACUUAAAAUUGUACAAACACACAGAUUUAAUUGUUAUAUAAAAAUGCAUGAAUUUACAAACAUUCGAGGCCGUACUGUAGCCUAUAAUUGAUCACAGUUCCUUCACUUUGUUUUGGAUGUAGAUCUGUCUCUUUCACACUCAAUUGUACACCACUUUGUAAAGCGGUGGUUUAUAGUGAUAAUGAAGUCCGUCUUUCCGUUCGUCCGUUGGACCGGUACAACAUGUUUCGCCGGUUUUGCAAGCGCAUCUCCUCAUAAACCACUUAAUAUACAUUGGGGUUUCCAGACAUUUUUAAAUGGAGAGGGGGUCCAAUCCAGGAGAAAAGAGGAUUCCAAAUAUAUGUUCCCAUACAAAUGCAUUGAAAGUUAAAAAAGAGUUUCAAACCGCCGGAUCCCAAUUUUCUUGAAUCCGUCACUGGUAUAACUAUUAAUUAUUUUUUUCUCGGAUUCCGUAUCAUAAAUUAUAAUAUAAAAAAGAAGAUGCGGUAUGAUUGCCAAUGAGACAACCGUCCACAAGAGAUCAAAAUGACACAGACAUUAACAAAUAUAGGUCACCGUAUGGCCUUCAACAAUAAGCAAAGCCAAUACCACAAAGUCAGCUAUAAAAGGCCCCGAAAUGACAAUGUAAAACAAUUCAAACGAGAAAAUUAACGGCCUUAUUUAUAUAAAAAAAGGAAUGUAUUUCGAAUUUUAUUAAAAAUCUUUUAUGGGGUUUCUUUAUAUAAGAUACGGACUUGAACAUUGCAUUAUAUGGGGGCACCCAUCAGGUAUUUCCAACCGUGACCUCCAAAACCAAUUGUUAAAAUUUUUCUAAAAUUGCUCCAUUUUUAUAUCAAUUAAUGUAUUAUGGACCUUCUAUUUCGAAUUUUUGGUAAAAAUAUUUUUGAUGUUUCUAUAUCUAAAAUACGGACUUUGUCAUAACCUUAUAUUGGGCGUACCUUUUUUAUAUCCACAACUUCCUUCAGACACUUGUCAUAACUUAAUGAAUCUUUUUCAGAUUCCUUAUCAUUUAAUUCAAUUGUGGUACCUCUUUAUUUUGAGUUUUCGAAAAUUCAUCAGUUUUCUAUUUCCAUGAUAAGGACUUUUCCACUACCUUAUUGGGUGGUACCCAUUUACUAUACGCAACUUUCAAAAACUUACCAUAUAUUAAUAAAACUUCCUCAUAUUCUUUAUUAAAUGAUGCCCCUGUGCACCUAUAAUUUAGUUUUUUUGGUUUUUUUUUUUUCCAAAACAUGGACUAUAGAAGUGGCGGGGUAUAAUUUCGUUAAUUCUUUCCUCAAUACCUAAAGUUUUUAAACAAAGCUUUCUCUAUCUAUUUUUUGUAAUUUUAAAAGAGACAAGCUUGAUGUAUGUUAUCACCAAUUGGUCAACGGCAGACGGUGUAAAUAGUCUUUAAAAAUGUAAUAGUUAAACAGAUAACUGCAACGACACACUAAUACAAAGUCCACAAGCGAAUCAUGUAUUGCUUUUUAGGCAUUUGAUUUUAAAUAAAAUGAACAAAAAUAUAAUUAUUUUGCCGUCUACAAAAAUCAUC